rnacentral:tRNA from 1 species
GUGGCUGUAGCUCAGUUGGUUAGAGCGCCUGGUUGUGGUCUAGGAGGUCGCGGGUUCGAGACCCGUCAGCCACCCCA